ACAAUUUCUAGUACUGUUGUUCAAAUAUUGUCACGUUGUGAUUAAUUGAUAUUUGUGUUUAGUAAGGAGAUUAAUAUCAAAUAACACAACAGUUACCCUCCAUGUAUUCCAGGACACAUCGGAGUGGAGUUUUGACAGACUAGCAAAAGUAGAAGCGGACAAAACCUUCAUAGGAUCUGAACCUUUUUGUAGUACCAGCUACAUAACGGGGAAAAUCCACAGGGGUUGAGACAGGCAAAUACGAUCCUGGGGGAAACUAUAACCAGGGAAGAUCAAUUGAUUGCAAUGUUUUAAAACAACCUACGAUCACUAUCAGGAGUCCUGUCAGGACAUUCUGUAUGGUAUGGGAUUAAUAGAUCAGAUAUAAUCACUGAGGAAUCCCAGUUCCACAGCACGAAUAGUAGACCUUUCAGUACAAAAGUUGCCCUCCAAUGGAUUCCAGGACACAUUGGAGUGGAGGGAAACUGAAUAGCUGACAGACUAGUAAAAAGUAGAGGAGGACGAACCCUUCACAGGAUCUGAACCUUUUUGUGGUACCAGCUACAGAAUACUAAGACAAAACACUAUAAAACAAGGUAGAUAGAAGUUGAAACUAGUUAUGGGGACAAUCCACAGGAAAAAACGAUCCUGAGGGAAACUAUAACCAGGGAAGAUCAGUUGAAUGUAUCAACCUAGGGAUAAACAACUACGAUUUAUCAUUGACAACUCGUUGUAGCGACAUAUUAGUUUCUAGCAUCCCCUGUAUAUCUAUUUUUUUAAUUUUAACAAUAAAUUUUGUAAAAAUAACAAAAUACUUCGAAGUUCAAUAAUUAAAACCUCCAAAUUAUUCAGAAUUGUUGUGGUUACUAAUUUUUUGUAACAUUAGAUUAUUAUAUAUCAAACAUCCCUCAUAUAACUAUUUUUUUUUAAAUGAAAUUGCCAUUUUUUUUAAAUAAAUCAUCAAUGAUUGAAA